rnacentral:misc_RNA from 1 species
AAUACAGAUGGAUCUGUUCGC